CGUGUAGCAGUGAAUUGCGGAGAUGUGCGGAGGAACACCGAUGUUGAGAGGCAGCACUCCUGGGAUAACACUGACGCUCAUGCACGAAAGCGUGGGGAGCAAACAGGAUUAGAUACGCAGGUAGUCCACGCCCUCAACGAUGUCAACUAGCUGUUGGGGCCUUCGGGCCUUGGUAGCGCAGCUAACGCGUGAAGUUGACCGCCUGGGGAGUACGGUCGCAAGAUUAAAACUCAAAGGAAUUGACGGGGACCCGCACAAGCGGUGGAUGAUGUGGAUUAAUUCGAUGCAACGCGAAAAACCUUACCUACCCCUGACAUGUCUGGAAUCCCGAAGAGAUUUGGGAGUGCUCGCAAGAGAACCGGAACACAGGUGAUGCAUGGCCGUCGUCAGCUCGUGUCUUGAGAUGUUGGGUUAAGUCCCGCAACGAGCGCAACCCUAGUCAUUAGAUGCUACGAAAGGGCACUCUAAUGAGACUGCCGGUGACAAACCGGAGGAAGGUGGGGAUGACGUCAAGUCCUCAUGGCCGUUAUGGGUAGGGCUUCACACGUCAUACAAUGGUCGGGACAGAGGGUCGCCAACCCGCGAGGGGGAGCCAAUCCCAGAAACCCUAUCGUUUUCCGGAUUGCUGUCUGCAACUCGAGCGCGUGAAGUGGGAAUCGCUUGUAAUCGCGGAUCAGCAUGUCGCGGUGAAUACGUUCCCGGGUCUUGUACACACCGCCCGUCACACCAUGGGAGUGGGUUUUACCAGAAGUAGUUAGCCU
rnacentral:rRNA from 1 species